rnacentral:tRNA from 1 species
GGCGUCGUAGCCAAGUGGUAAGGCAGAGGUCUGCAAAACCUUCACCGUGGGUUCGAUUCCCACCGACGCCU